rnacentral:rRNA from 1 species
AUUCCAGCUCCAAUAGCGUAUAUUUAAGUUGUUGCAGUUAAAAAGCUCGUAGUUGGAUUUCGGAUGGGACCUGCCGGUCCGUCGUUGCGAUGUGCACUGGCCGGUCCUAUCUUGUUGUUGGGGACCAGCUCCUGGGCUUUACUGUCCGGGACUGGGAGCUAACGAGGUUACUUUGAGUAAAUUAGAGUGUUCAAAGCAAGCCUACGCUCUGAAUACAUUAGCAUGGAAUAACACGAUAGGACUCUGGCUUAUCCUGUUGGUCUGUGAGACCAGAGUAAUGAUUAAGAGGGACAGUCGGGGACAUUCGUAUUUCAUUGUCAGAGGUGAAAUUCUUGGAUUUAUGAAAGACGAACUUCUGCGAAAGCAUUUGUCAAGGAUGUUUUCAUCA